AACAGGAGUUUUGAAGUCCACAAGAACCUAGGUUAAUAUCUGGCCUUUACUACUUAUUAUCUAUGGGACUUUGUUCCAGAACAAUCAUUUCUAUCUUCAUUUUUCUUUUGAGUACAUUUUAGAUAAUUAAACUGUUAAGAUGGAAGUCAAGAUUAAAGGGUAAUAGUCCUUGGUGCAUUGUAGGUGUAUAAAUGUUGGCUUGUUUCAUUAUGACUACUUCUUUACCUGACUAUGAGUGGCAAAAAAGACAGAAACCAUGUCAGUAACAAGAGAUGGUGUGAUUAGAAAACUAUGUAUGGGUUCAUGGUAGCUAUGCCUUGCAGAACUAUCACAGCAGCCUUUGUCUCAUAGGUAGCAGAGAAAACAGACUAUGCAGUUCUGAAACUUAAAUACUAAAUUUGGAAGGUUGUCCUAUGUAUCGAAUAGACUUGUGAGUCCAUGAAGAUAUUGCAGGAGACUAAUAAAAUAGCUCUACUCUGGGAAAUUAAUAGAUUCUGUUCUGCUUGUUCUGUCCACACUAUACUCUAAAAAAUACUGCAUGAUAAGGUUGCUGAUUGUGUAAAGGGCUCUUGUAGUAGCACUCUGGAACUGUGAAGUGGGGCAAACAAUGUAUCUUAAUUUAUAACCACUCAGCAAAUGUAAAAUGGUAGGAGAUUCACUUUUUCUGGGUAGUUCUGAGCUUUUUCUUCUCUUUUGCAGAGAGAAUUCAGCUCACUAUGAUUUCUGCAAUAUACAAUUAUGGGAAAUCAUGUUUGGAUUGACACUGCAGACAGAAAUGGCAUGCAUGAUUCCUGUUUGGACAGGAAUAGCUGUUGGGGAGGAAGCCAACCUUGAAUGACACUGAAGAGCAACAUAAUGAAGCAUGAAUUGACAGGCAUCCUUCACGUUGCUUCUGGCUUCCCGUGUAAAAAGCCAUAUCUGAGCGCAGCUCUUAUGGGGCCAGAUCCAGGGGAGGAGAAAGGAAGUGAGGCCCAGAAAAAAUACAUUGUCAUGGAGGAGUGAAACUGAAGACAAAACAAAAAGGACUUUCCACAACUAGGCCCCUGGCUUACACUGCAAUGGAAGAAGAGGAGCAGAAAUACUGCCAAAGAUCCUUAUGAUGGCAUUGCAUUUUAGACUGCUUUUCAACUGAUUAUGACAGUAUCAACAAAAGAAACUUUCAUUUGAGGGACAUGGAUGGAGCUGGAGGCCAUUAUCCUUAGCAAGGUAACACAAGAACAGAAAACGAAAUACUGCAUGUUCUCACUUAUAAAUGGGAACUAAAUGAUGAGAAUAUAUGGACACAUAGAGGGGAACAACACACACUGAAGCCUUUUAGAGGGUGAAUGGUGGGAAGAGGGAGAGGAUCAGAAAAAAUAACCAAUGGGUACUAGGCUUAAAACUGGGUGAUGGAGGCAGGGCGUGGUGGCUCACGCCUGUAAUCCCAACACUUUGGGAGGCUGAGGCGGGCAGAUCACCAGGUCAGGAGAUGGAGAUCAUCCUGGUGAACACGGUGAAACCCCAUCUCUACUAAAAAUACAAAAAAAUUAGCUGGGCGUGGCGGCCGGCGCCUGUAAUCCCAGCUACUCGGAAGGCUGAGGCAGGAGAAUGGCGAGAACCCGGGAGGCGGAGCUUGCAGUGAGCUGAGAUCGCGCCACUGCACUCCAGACUGGGCGAUAGAGCAAGACUCCCUAUCAAAAACAAAACAAAACAAAACAAAACAAAACAAAACAAAA